UUUCAGGGGUGCUGACUCACUCGGGUAAAUCGAAGGGUAGUUCCUCUUGAUGGCCGUUAAUUCGAGUUGAGCAAAGUUCAACCCUCCUUCCGACUGUUAAACAGCCGAGAACUUUGAAGCGAGGCAAACUGCAAACCGAACGUUCGGGUAAACGUCGAUGGGAGCGGUCGCCUUUCCAUUUCAAAGAGAGAAACGUUUUUAGAAGUUUUUGCGCUUUCAUGUCCUUUCAAGCAUAACCGGUGAGGAGUGCUCUUCAUUCGAAUUAAAAAAAAGGGAUUGCUUGAUCAAAAUUAGCCAUCCUGAUUCAAACAAGCAUCAGACAUUAAUUAAUUAUUAAUUAAUCGAUUACUAAUGCAAUAUUAAAUUUGAUCGAUAUACUUGCAUUAAUAAUUAUCCGGUCUAGCGUUUGAAAUAUUAAUUGUAUAAUAUUUUUGGCGCAUUUGUUAUUUAUUCAAUUAAAGCUCUUUUUGCGUGCACAUUAUUGUGUUAAAUGCAGAGAAAGGCAUUAUUUCUAACGUACGUUAUUUUGCAUGUCAUGAUGCCACAUUUCUUCACAAGGAAAAAAAUAGCUGCGAUUUAAUUUUCGCCACACUAGGUUUUAAUUAAACUGAUACCAUUACUAGGCGCACCAUAAAACAGUGGGAUGUGCUCUAAUUGCGAAUUCCCGGUGACUCGUUUAUAAGCAACACAUCUCGCCAUGCAAAUCGUUUUAAUUAGAAAGGCGAAUGUUGGCUUGUCUCUGCGUGAAGACCGCUCGGUACAUCGAUCGAGUAAACAUCAGCGAAUAGAAUAUUGUAAAAUAGGAGCUCCAUCCUAUUCCCCAAAAACCUUAAAUAAUACACAAAAAUAUAUAGAUAAUUUGUGCACGGCCUCUUUUCACAAAAUCACCCAGUUUUUAUUUUGAGAUUGCAGCGUCUAAUCGCGCCAAUCAUGAAAUACUAUAAAAUUGUACAAAAUAUCUACUGUCACUUUUAUAUUUAUCACAAGUGUAAAAUCAAGUAUACAAUUAAAUGGAAUAGAAAAGUUUUAUC